GAGGUUAUAGCUCAGUGGUAGAGUGUUUGCUUAGCAUGCACAAGUCCUGGGUUCAAUCCCCAGUGCCUCCA
rnacentral:tRNA from 1 species